rnacentral:rRNA from 1 species
UUUUGUUGGAGAGUUUGAUCCUGGCUCAGGAUGAACGCUGGCGGCGUGCUUAACACAUGCAAGUCGAACGAGGUCCAUGGAGCUUGCUCCGGAAGACCUAGUGGCGAACGGGUGCGUAACACGUGAG